UCAUACAAUAUAUCAUAUGCAUCUCAUUCUCAGCUAAGCUAGUGACAGUACAUGCAUCAAUCGUCAUAUCAUUCAAUGGGAAAUGGAGCACGAGUGCAGUCUCCGUGUACUAGCUACUAGCCACUGCCCGCUGCUAGCUCCGUUCCUCGAGUAUGUGAUAGCCAUUGAGGCAAAAAAAUAAUUGAAAGAUCCAUGGAGGCAAUAUUUCAGAGGUGAUGAAGCUAGCGUAACUGGGAUAUGAUAUGAUGUGCCUGGCUCCCUGUAUGCCACUCAUCCAGAGCAACACCUUUGCGAUGAGGUUGCCUGCGAUGGAUGGCGUGCACGGAUCCAAGCAUAUCGAAAUCAAACCCUCUCCCUCUCCCCCUCCUCUCGUAGUUAGUUUCAUUGUUGUUUGUCUUCUCUAUUAAGCAAUUAGUUUUCUCUCCAUGGCGCUUGAUGGUGUUCAUACGUAACGCCAUAUAUAGUUUCCCCCCUUGAUCUACUUCCGAUAUAUAAAGUAUCAGCUGGAAAAGAAAUCAAUCGAUCAUAUUUAAUUGGUUUUCUUCAAUGUGUCAGCUAUACAUGUUAUUUCAUAUCAAUGUACUUAUACGUUAAUACGGUUAAUUACUACUUGUUCAACAACCAUAUAUGUGCAUGGUAGUAAUGAAAAUGAUGAUUUCAUGUGUAUGUUUCGACCAAUGCAAGUCGUGUAUAUGAGCAAGCAAGUAAAGUAGUGUUUCCCCAGCUUCCUCAAAUCUCCUGGAUCAUAAUGACAUCUUACAUAUAUAGUACACCUUUGUUCCUAAAUGUAAGACAUUUUUGCAGUUCAACUACUUAGCAUCAAGUUAUAUUUCAGGGUUAAAUUUGCCCCGGUUAUGACUAACUCUUCCUUUAAUUUGAUAGCCGGCAAAUAUCGGAGAAUCUACUAAUCAUUUCAGGUCUUCUAGAAGCAGUGUCUCCCAGAAGUUGAGCCCAACCUAGUUUGAAGGGCUAUAAGAUGAACAAUUCUAGAUGUUCCACAUAUGUAUAGAUUUUUCCGCUUUGAGACAAACAAAAAAUGUAUAGAUUUCAUGUCAUUCACACUUCUAGCCACUUGAUUUCUGAUUUAUUUUUCAUUGUACACCACAGCUUCUGCCCUAGUUGCAGAAAGACGCAUUAGAGCCUUUGCACAUUCCAAAGGAAAUGAGAAUGACAAUUUGAUCACUAACUUAACUGUAAUUGGGCAUGGAUCACAUUAUUUUCUUAAGUACUACUGCUUCUGUUUUCCUUUAAUUCCAUACACUAUUUGAUCUUUAUGGCGCUUCCUCCAUCAAAUUGAGAACUUUAUCCAUAGAGUAGCAGCGUAGGCCAUACUUUCUUCUUUUUUUGGUGGCGCAGGUUCCAAGACACACAUUGACCACUUUUUUUUCUGUAGCUCAUGUUAGUAAAAAAGGAAAUAAAGUACUUUUGAUGACAGCCUACUUAUUCAUUGUUUAUGUUCAAUAUGACAAGUUCAAAUAGCUACCUUAUGCAUGUAUUAGUGCUCUAACUGUUUAAAUAUCAUUUAGUUUAACUAGAAUGGAGAGAGUCUUAUCGAUCCUCUUAAGUAGUACUACAUCUGUUUCUAAAUUUUGAACAGUCAAAAUAUCUUAUAUUUAGGAGCAGAGGGUGUAAGAUCUAAAAAAAAU
rnacentral:lncRNA from 1 species